GGUAGUCCAUGCCGUAAACGUUGGGCACUAGGUGUGGGGCUCAUUCCACGAGUUCCGUGCCGCAGCAAACGCAUUAAGUGCCCCGCCUGGGGAGUACGGCCGCAAGGCUAAAACUCAAAGAAAUUGACGGGGGCCCGCACAAGCGGCGGAGCAUGCGGAUUAAUUCGAUGCAACGCGAAGAACCUUACCAAGGCUUGACAUACACCGGAAAAGUGCAGAGAUGUGCUCCCCGCAAGGUCGGUGUACAGGUGGUGCAUGGUUGUCGUCAGCUCGUGUCGUGAGAUGUUGGGUUAAG
rnacentral:rRNA from 1 species